rnacentral:rRNA from 1 species
UGUGUUUGAUCCUGGCUCAGGAUGAACGCUAGCGGCAGGCUUAACACAUGCAAGUCGAGGGGUAACAGGAGAGCUUGCUCUCGCUGACGACCGGCCCCCGGGUGAGUAACGCGUAUGCAACCUACCCAUACUGGGGGGAUAGCUUCCGGAAACGGAAAUUAAUACCCCAUAGUAUUAUAAUAUACCAUGGUAUAAUAAUUAAAGUUCCGACGGUUAUGGAUGGGCAUGCGUGCCAUUAGUUUGUUGGUGAGGUAACGGCUCACCAAGGCUAUGAUGGCUAGGGGGUCUUAAAGGAUGGUCCCCCACACUGGUACUGAGACACGGACCAGACUCCUACGGGAGGCAGCAGUGAGGAAUAUUGGUCAAUGGGCGCAAGCCGGAACCAGCCAUGCCGCGUGCAGGAAGACGGCCCUAUGGGUUGUAAACUGCUUUUAUAUAGGAAGAAAAUGUUCUACGAGUAGAGCACUGACGGUACUAUAAGAAUAAGCAUCGGCUAACUCCGUGCCAGCAGCCGCGGUAAUACGGAGGAUGCAAGCGUUAUCCGGAUUUAUUAGGUUUAAAGGGUGUGUAGGCGGAAGAAUAAGUCAGUGGUGAAAUCCUACAGCUUAACUGUAGAACUGCCAUUGAAACUGGUUUUCUUGAGUAUAGUUGAGGUUGGCGGAAUGUGUUGUGUAGCGGUGAAAUGCUUAGAGAUGACACAGAACACCGAUUGCGAAGGCAGCUGACUAAACUAUAACUGACGCUGAUGCACGAAAGCGUGGGUAUCGAACAGGAUUAGAUACCCUGGUAGUCCACGCCGUAAACGAUGAUUACUCGUUGUUCGCGAUACAUUGCGAGUGACUGAGCGAAAGCAUUAAGUAAUCCACCUGGGGAGUACGAUCGCAAGAUUGAAACUCAAAGGAAUUGACGGGGGCCCGCACAAGCGGAGGAACAUGUGGUUUAAUUCGAUGAUACGCGAGGAACCUUACCUGGGCUUAAAUGUAGAUUGACAGGACUGGAAACGGUUUUUUCUUCGGACAAUUUACAAGGUGCUGCAUGGUUGUCGUCAGCUCGUGCCGUGAGGUGUCGGGUUAAGUCCCAUAACGAGCGCAACCCCUAUCGUUAGUUGCUAGCAGGUAAUGCUGAGGACUCUAGCGAGACUGCCGGUGUAAACCGUGAGGAAGGUGGGGAUGACGUCAAAUCAGCACGGCCCUUAUGGGCAGGGCUACACACGUGCUACAAUGGCGAGUACAGAGGGCAGCUACACAGCGAUGUGAUGCCAAUCCCCAAAGUGCGUCUCAGUUCGUAUCGAAGUCUGCAACCCGACUUCGUGAAGCUGGAAUCGCUAGUAAUCGCGCAUCAGCCAUGGCGCGGUGAAUACGUUCCCGGGCCUUGUACACACCGCCCGUCAAGCCAUGGAAGUUGGGGGUACCUGAAGUCCGUAACCGUAAGGAGCGGCCUAGGGUAAAACUAGUGACUGGGGCUAAGUCGUAACAG